GCCUACGGGUGGCAGCAGUGAGGAAUAUUGGUCAAUGGGCGCGAGCCUGAACCAGCCAAGUAGCGUGAAGGAUGACUGCCCUACGGGUUGUAAACUUCUUUUAUAAAGGAAUAAAGUGAGGCACGUGUGCCUUUUUGUAUGUACUUUAUGAAUAAGGAUCGGCUAACUCCGUGCCAGCAGCCGCGGUAAUACGGAGGAUCCGAGCGUUAUCCGGAUUUAUUGGGUUUAAAGGGUGCGCAGGCGGAAUGUCAAGUCAGCGGUAAAAUUUCGGGGCUCAACCCCGUCGUGCCGUUGAAACUGGCGUUCUUGAGUGAGCGAGAAGUAUGCGGAAUGCGUGGUGUAGCGGUGAAAUGCAUAGAUAUCACGCAGAACUCCGAUUGCGAAGGCAGCAUACCGGCGCUCAACUGACGCUCAUGCACGAAAGCGUGGGUAUCGAACAGGAUUAGAUACCCUAGUAGUC
rnacentral:rRNA from 1 species